GCCAAUUAAAGCCCUUUCGUUUAUAAAUUACCCAGCAUCAGCCAACAUGUCCAUUUCCACCCUCCACCCUCAUUCUCACAUUAAGCUAUGGAGAGGGGGAAUAUUUGUACUUUUUUCAUGGUCUUCCAAAGGAUGGACAUACUACUGCCACGAGAGAAAUUGCUGGUCAGAGAGAAGCAAUUCCUUAGAGAAAGCAACCCACAUAUCAUCACCCAAGAGAGCUGAACCAUUGCCAACAUCUCCAUCAGGAACUUGGAAGAGUUUUCUGUCUUCCCAACACAAUAAAACUGGAGACACGAGCAUGCAGAGCUCCAGCCAGCACAAUUACAUAAAGCCAAAGCACAUUAUCACUUGCAGGCUGCAGGAUUUAUGGCCAACUAUGAUGGAAAAUACAGAGAUACUUUACUUGUCUGAAUUCAACACUCAAAAAAGAUAGUAUGUAUUAUAUUAAUGAUAGAGAAAAGUUGUAUAUAUUGUACUUUUUCUAAUGAAAACCUUAGUAAACAGAGCAGAAACAGAUGCCAGCAUCUUAGAGAAGAAAGAAAAAUGGAAAAGAUUGCCAGUUUGCUCCUCUUCAGACAAUAUGCAAUUGCUGUUCUUGUUGAAAAAUUCCUUUCAAAUGCAUUGAGGCAGCAUUUCUAUUUUGGUGGUUUUCUGCAUUUGAGUUGCUGCUUCUAACUUGAGUGGAACAGAGAAGUUUGUAUUCUCUAUGGGUGUCUGCUGUUCCAAGUAUGAAGCAGUGAAGCUAAAAUCACUUUACUUCUAGAAACCUGUGAUUUCCAUUUGCCAUGAGGUUAGCACUUCCUCUGGCAGUGCCUUUGCCACGAACUGUCAUAGAACCAUGCUGUUUAUCUAGCAUAGCAUUCUUCUUUAUCAUAGCUGCUUACCACUUGUUUCUGCUCUGGAAUGCACCCUGUACGUGCAGGUUAUGUGGUGUCCUGGCCCAGUGCUGGCACACGGUGAGCACUCACAAAAAUAUUGAAGAGCUCUCUUCAGGUUGUAAUUUUAUGUUACCAAUGUUUUUACACAGUUGGUUUGCAUUAUGAGUACACAGUGAGAAGGUAAACCAGUGUGCUGUUUGUCUAUCGUUUCCAAAUUUUGAAUUAUUUAAAUACAUGUUAGUGAAAUCACUGUUUAUCAGAACCAAAAUUGCAAUCUUAAAACUUCUGCAAGAUAGAAAAGAUUGUUUAACAAAGGAAGGAAAAUAUUACAAAAACAGAUUUCUCUCUUAAUUUUGUCAGUGCUUGGACUUGGUCCCCAAAUCUUAAAAGUGAAUUUGUUUCCAGAACACCUGAAACAGAGACCACAUUUUUAUGUUUGCCUUUUUGCAGUGAAGUUUACAUUAGGGAGCUAUAUUUUCCUUAUAUUUAUUUUUAAAUCAUUUGGGCUUUCCAAUAAAAUAGCAUUCUCAUUUUCUUCCCUCUUCCCAGAUUAAUGCAUUUAUUAUUUUAAUGCAUGAAGGGGUCCACGUGGCGCUAUGGUUGGUGGCUGGGAUGCUCUGGAGUGGUGCGCUUGGAAAACAAUGUGUUAUUUGCACUUGAGAAAAUACUUUGUUGGCUAAGUGUCUAGGCACUGAAACAGUAACAGUUCAUCAAAAGACAGUUAUCCCAGAUACGCUUCCAAGAGUGGCAAUCAGUUUUCCUAAAGAGUCAAAGAAAAGAGUGAGAAUUGUGGGAAGUGGGAGACUAGAAGGACAGACUCAUUUGGAAACAGGAAGUGGUUCAAGGAACUUAGGAUUUGGAAUAUAGGAAAAGAAAUGGGGAAACAUACCCAUGCCUUCUCUUCUCUGUAGACAUCCAAUUUGAACCUACUCCAGAUUAGUAGGAAGUAAAAUCAUUAUCUGAUGUUCUGUGGCCACAUGGAAAAUACAUUGGUAGUUGCAACCAGACUAGAGUCAACAUUGAGAAACCAAUAGAACCACUAACUUGGGCUGGUGAGGCACAGCUACUGGUCAAAACCUGCCCAGGAGGCCCAGUACCACUCACAGUCAGGAUCGGGGUCAUGGUAGGGGAAGGUCAGCUAGCUUACUGCAGCCCAUCUCUGAUGGGGAGGUGAGGACUUCCAGCCCUGGGCUGCUCAUUCACCUCCCCUCUGGAGCAGUAAACAGGGAAGUAGCAAGAAGCUAAGCUCCUUUUGUUAGGCAUUGUUAAUUCCUCCAAGGUGACCAUUGAUGUAUUUUUUAUUCAGUAACUUAGCAUAUAUGUGUGUGCACAAUUAAUAGUUAUAUAUAAUAAAAGUGAAUAUAUUAAAAUUUAAAAAAAUAAAUUAUGAUCAUUGCACAAUUCUGUGACUAUACUACAAACCAUUAAAAUGUAUACUUUAAAUGGGUGUUUUUUAUGUUAUUUAUGUGAUUAUGUCUCAAUAAAGAUGUUUUAAAACCAUAAA
rnacentral:lncRNA from 1 species